GAUGAAGAACGUAGCGAAAUGCGAUAAUUAAUGUGAAUUGCAGAAUUUAGUGAAUCAUCGAAUCUUUGAACGCACAUUGCGCCCCUUGGUAUUCCGGGGGGCAUGCCUGUUCGAGCGUCAUUUCAACCCUCAAGCCCUGCUUGGUCUUGGGCCGCGCCGGCAACGGCGGGCCUCAAAAACAGUGGCGGCGCCAUCUGGUCCCUCAGCGUAGUAAUUCUUCUCGCUGCUGGGCCCCGGUGGCCGCUUGCCAGCAACCCCAAACUUUCUAUGGUUGACCUCGGAUCAGGUAGGGAUACCCGCUGAACUUAAGCAUAUCAAUAAGCGGAGGA
rnacentral:misc_RNA from 1 species